AUCUUCUUUUCCUCCAUUCUUCCACAUAGAAUUUGAAUGACUCAGGGGGCUCAGUGAAAGGGACAGGCUCUCCUGCUUUCUUCAGAAAAGCUGCUAGAGAUUUCAGAGAUAGCUCAGGCAGCUGUAUAUUCUUUUCUUUCGUUUUCUCAUACACAGCCUUUACAGAAGCAACGUCCCCAUCUAAUUCAUAACAUCUUAUGAGGUGACGGUAUGCAGUUUCCAAAUCUAUGCUGUCAGGAAUCAGUUCUAGAAGCUUCUCGAUCUUCCUUGCCUGUCCAGGCUUAGAUGCUGCUUUCGUCAUGUAAUUCACAAAAGCUCUCUUCUCCUCAACUAAUCCACCACACCUCUGUAGUAGAGAUCUGGC
rnacentral:lncRNA from 1 species